AUGGGACAGCAGGACUGCAGACGAGGGAGAUCAGGAUUAGGAGAGUGCACAAAGAAAGAGAAAAAGACAUGGUUGUGGUGAGAAGUGUAUUCUGCAACUGUCAAAGAUGAGGUUUGCACCAUUCAACUGGUUUGAGAUUGCGUGCUUUAUGAUGAACCAGACAUCCCUAAAAGCAGAUUUUGACCCGUUGAACA